rnacentral:rRNA from 1 species
UGAGGAAUAUUGGUCAAUGGACGAGAGUCUGAACCAGCCAAGUAGCGUGAAGGAUGACUGCCCUAUGGGUUGUAAACUUCUUUUAUAUGGGAAUAAAGUAUUCCACGUGUGGGAUUUUGUAUGUACCAUAUGAAUAAGGAUCGGCUAACUCCGUGCCAGCAGCCGCGGUAAUACGGAGGAUCCGAGCGUUAUCCGGAUUUAUUGGGUUUAAAGGGAGCGUAGGUGGAUUGUUAAGUCAGUUGUGAAAGUUUGCGGCUCAACCGUAAAAUUGCAGUUGAAACUGGCAGUCUUGAGUACAGUAGAGGUGGGCGGAAUUCGUGGUGUAGCGGUGAAAUGCUUAGAUAUCACGAAGAACUCCGAUUGCGAAGGCAGCCUGCUAAGCUGCAACUGACAUUGAGGCUCGAAAGUGUGGGUAUCAAACAGGAUUAGAUACCCUGGUAGUCCACACGGUAAACGAUGAAUACUCGCUGUUUGCGAUAUACUGCAAGCGGCCAAGCGAAAGCGUUAAGUAUUCCACCUGGGGAGUACGCCGGCAACGGUGAAACUCAAAGGAAUUGACGGGGGCCCGCACAAGCGGAGGAACAUGUGGUUUAAUUCGAUGAUACGCGAGGAACCUUACCCGGGCUUAAAUUGCAAAUGAAUUAUGGGGAAACCCAUACGCCGCAAGGCAUUUGUGAAGGUGCUGCAUGGUUGUCGUCAGCUCGUGCCGUGAGGUGUCGGCUUAAGUGCCAUAACGAGCGCAACCCUUAUCUUCAGUUACUAACAGGUCAUGCUGAGGACUCUGGAGAGACUGCCGUCGUAAGAUGUGAGGAAGGUGGGGAUGACGUCAAAUCAGCACGGCCCUUACGUCCGGGGCUACACACGUGUUACAAUGGGGGGUACAGCAGGCAGCUACCGGGCGACCGGAUGCCAAUCCCGAAAGCCUCUCUCAGUUCGGACUGGAGUCUGCAACCCGACUCCACGAAGCUGGAUUCGCUAGUAAUCGCGCAUCAGCCACGGCGCGGUGAAUACGUUCCC